rnacentral:lncRNA from 1 species
GUUCCCUUCCUAUGGGUGACAGGGCAGGAGCUCUGCUUCAAAAGGACAAGCAGCGUGGGGAGCUACUGAAGCUUACAGAUGAAGGAGACCAAGGGGGAUGAUGUCGGCUAAUAAACCUGCGUAUGUAUGGUGACACGGGCACUACCACUCGUAAUGUCUGCUUGUCACACCUGUGGGACAGACUGCGGUUGUGGGACUGCACUGGUGGAGCUGACAAGCUCAGAAGGAAGAGGCUCUGCAGAGCAGUGACACUGCCAGGAAGGUGACCUUCCUCACGGGCCUCCAGGAAGGAGGUGGGAGGGGGGACGCUCUAAUGUGACAAUGCCCUGGCAGAGUGGGGUGUCUUCUAAACCCAGUGGAGGGCACCCAUUCCCUCCCUUGUGGCCUGUCCUCCUGCAGUUCUGCAUGCCAGCACUGUCCUACCUGCUGGGAAUCCAGAGAACAGGGUUCCUGUCCUCAUGGGUCAGCAGCUAUGCCUAUGGGAAUGCCUUACUGACCCUUAUUUUUUCUGGCACCGACUGUCUGGUGUCUUGGGGACACUUAGGUGUGUGAUUGUGAAGACCAACCAGUCAGAGCCUGGAUCAGCAGUCCUCAGUGAUUAGUGCACCUUCCUUCCUAUUGCCUCAGGGUGGACAGGUAGGAGACCCAGCCAAUGGAUGAAGGGGUGGAGUGUCCCAGGAGACCACUGCGAAGAGAAAAGGAUGCAGAACAGCUGUGCCUGCUGCCAGGCUUGUGCCUCACCCCCACCCACAACCCCACCCCAGUGGCUGCCUGUGAGGAGAGCCAGUACAGAAGAAAGCAGAGAAGGCUGGACGGUGUCCUGAAGACACUGUACGAGCCCCUGGAGCCAAUGCUGCCUGAAGCUCUCAGGAUCCUCUUGGACCUCGAGCUCAGCCACAUGCAUUCCAUUUUUGCGUGACGGCUGAGUUUCUGGCAGGUGGUGAUUCCAUAAAGUCCACGACCUUGCAAACAGUUUUCCUUCGCUUUUCAGAUGGAAGUUCAGAGAGGUUAAGUGGCUUGACCAAAGCUGCACAGCAGCCAUAUGCAAUCUUACCAGCACAAAGCCUACCCUCCUGCUACUAUUCUCAGGUGGCACCCCUGUAGGACAGGUGAUGAACUGCAACUAAGAGAGGAAGGGAUUCUGUCCAGGACAGGUCUUCCUGAGAGGAUCCCACAAGAAAAUCACUGUCGAACCUGCUCCACCCUGAGGCAACAGGAAGGAAGGAAGUAUAUGUAGGUGGCACACUGGCAGCUGUUGCUAUCUCAACUUUUCUUUCUGCCGGUUUUAAAGAAACAGAAGAACCCUCAGGAAAGCCUGGGGUGUCUGCUCUCUACAGUCAGACAGGCUGGUCACAUUGCGCAGGUGGCUCCACACAGUGGCGGUGUGCUGGACGCAAGUGGGAGCCCUGCUCAGAUGAGCCAGCCUCCCCAGCUCUGAAGGCAGGCAGCCAGGCAGCCAGCCUCUGAGUUUCCUGUGGUGGCCUCCGAGCUGGUGACCUGUAUGGCAGACUGAGGACCUGGGAUGCAUCCAGCUGCCAGCUCGACUUCCUCUGGACUGCUCCCUACCCUGAGCCCCGCAGACUCGGAGCUCAAGUGGAUGACAUCUUGUGCUCCCAGAGGUACAGGAGGCCGGAAAUGAGAGCACAGGCAGCCAGGUCCCUGCAAGGAGCAGCUCAAGUAGAAUCGGGGAAGGUCCCCGAAUGGGAAAUGAAUCAUGAAAACCACGAAGACCUCCAGCAAGCAGACAUGCCUGGGUUCCAGUGAGCUGCCCAUUCUGCUGCCCUCCGAGUUCACAGGUGAGGGAGAGUCAGCUCCGAGAGGAUACUUGGGCAACUACAGGGAUGCGACGAAGCAGGAUCUGAACCCAGACCCCUUGAUCUCCAGCCCUCAGGCAGCUGUUUCUAUUUGUGGGACCCAUGAGGAACACAGGAGCCACUGAAGGAGGGGUUCAUCUGAAGGCGAGUGAGUCAGCCUGUGCUAGAAGACUGGGAUGGGGCUAGCCAAGUUCACCUGUAACUCCAGCACUUGGGAGGCGGAGGCAAGAGAAGCCCUGUGAAUCUGCGGCCAGUCUGGGCUACGUGGUGAGGCUUUCCCAGCUACACAUGGGAACUAACAACAGCGGCCAUCAUGGGUUAUUCUGAGGAGUAGUUGGCUCAUCACAAGGCACUGAACAUCAUCUAGCCAUAGUGGAUACAGCCAAGCCACAGAGGUGCCACAGUUCUAGAAAUGGUGGCUCUUGGAGGAGCUGGGUCAGGAUUUCAGCCUGGGCAUUCCGAUUCCAGAGGCUGCUGAUCUUCUGGACACCCACCACCACCGCGCCUCCCUGCGGCUCCCACUAGAACAAGGACAGCAGAGGAGACUGAAGGAGAGGAGACACUGGGGUCAAGGAUGCAGAUUUUCCAUCCAGCUCAAAAGAAGUGAGCCUGGGAUAACUGGCGUCCAUGGGAGGUGUUUGGUCCUUCACCAACUCUUAACGGACACAUUUUAAAUAUUGGAUAAUACAUUUUUAAAGCACAGCAGGUUCCCAUAACCCAGCAAGAGCAACUCCAGAGAGGCCCAAGGAAGUUCUGGAAUAAAAUCAUAGCUAACCUCCAUGUCUAUCGGUAGGGGAAUGGCUAAAUAA